CCUACGGGGGGCUGCAGUGGGGAAUUUUGCGCAAUGGGCGAAAGCCUGACGCAGCAACGCCGCGUGGGUGAUGAAGGUCUUCGGAUCGUAAAACCCUGUCGUUGGGGACGAAGGUGGGGGCGUUAAUAGCGUUUCUGCUUGACGGUACCCGGAGAGGAAGCCCCGGCUAACUCUGUGCCAGCAGCCGCGGUAAUACAGAGGGGGCAAGCUUGGUUCGAAAUUAUUGGGCGUGGUGUGCGAGGUGAGAGGUGUAAUCCCCGGGCUCAACUUGGGAACUGCAUCUGAGACUGGAAGGCUAGAGUACUGGAGAGGGUGGUGGAAUUCCUCGUGUAGCGGUGAAAUGCGUAGAGAUGAGGAGGAACACCAGUGGCGAAGGCGGCCACCUGGACAGUAACUGACGCUGAGGCGCGAAAGUGUGGGUAGCAAACAGGAUUAGAUACCCGUGUAGUC
rnacentral:rRNA from 1 species